CUAGUUGUCUUGAAUUAAGAAUUGCAAGCCAUAGCUAGGGCAUAGAAGUAAAUUUAUUUUGCGUUAGUGAUGCUGUGGUCCAAUGCUAUUCAUGAUUGUUGUGACAAGCUGUGCUUCGAGGUAAAUUGGUUUGCAAACUCACUAGGUCCCACACCCAACUAAGCCUUUUCAUUUCUUGCCUCACAACCACCUUGGAACACACAUUCAUUUACCUCUUCUGUUAUAAAUUAGUGGACACCGCGUACUGAAAAUUGCAGAUAGGUGUCCCAAAUUCACCAUUUUAAGAAAACUCCACUCCACCUCUCCCACCCCCUUUCUUUCUCACUCAUUUCUUAUGUGAGAGGAGGCAGCUAGGCUGAGUUUCUAGCUAGAGCUAUAUCAGCGAUAUCAAGUGAAGAGAAGGUGUGUGUGAGCAAGAUGGAGAAGCAGGGCACGUGCAUUACUAACUCAUGCACACAGAGUGAGAGAGACAUUUCUUGCUGGAGUUAUGACUCUUACCUACUAUAGAUUUGUUGGCUUCAGUGAGUUAGUUCUUCAUGUGCCUGUCUUCCCCAUCAUGAUCACUACCACACCUAUAUUAUUAGCUCAUCUGGGCACUUCAUAUUGGAUCGAGAAUCUCCUCUUCAAGAACUGAAUUCAUGCAUGCAGAAAAUAUGAAGUGGGCCGGGGUCUUGUCUUCCAUGAUCCUUUCUGUUAAGACUUCAUAUACAGAAAAGUAGAGAAACAGUACACAGUAUGAAUAAUGGGAAAAAAGGUAGUGUUUCUUCUCCACCGAGUCUCGGCGGAAAUCAUGUGAUAGCAGAUAUGCAAGCAAGUAGCCUGGCAACUAAAAGACGUGAGAUUUCUUGCUGAUCAUCAGUUUUCUUCUUUAUCUCUGCUCCUUCCAUUAAGAGGUAGUGGGUGUCUAUCAAUGUUGCUCUCAGUCUUAACCAAUAAAACCGAUAAGAGAUGAGUGGAGCAAAACCAUCGAGGCAUGAGUUCCCAAGAAAACUGAUGUCUUAUUAUCAUGGAUAUCUAGCAUUUUGAUGCCGCCAUCCAGGGGACAGUGCAAGAUUGCAAUGGCCACCGCAGAUAUUGCCUCUAAUCCAUCCAAUUUAGCUCUUUUUCCCCCCCUCUCAACCACGUUUGAAUGACAGUGAAAUGCCAUUCACAGCAUCUUGCCUUCUUAUCAAAUACCUUUUGUUUACCCAAGUUUUUAGAGUGAUCGAGAUUGCAAGCAACCUUAGAAAAUGAUGGCUUUUACAUGUAAAUCUUUCAUUUUCUACAAGUUGCUUAAGUUAUCUUUUCUCCCUCCUUGUUAAUGAUGGUUUUUAUAUCUAAAGCAACUCUUUCAUUUUA